rnacentral:rRNA from 1 species
CGAUGGGUNCUAGGUGUAGGAGGUAUCGACCCNUUCUGUGCCGGAGUUAACGCAAUAAGUACCCCGCCUGGGGAGUACGACCGCAAGGUUGAAACUCAAAGGAAUUGACGGGGGCCCGCACAAGCGGUGGAGUAUGUGGUUUAAUUCGACGCAACGCGAAGAACCUUACCAGGUCUUGACAUUGAUGGACAGAACCAGAGAUGGUUCCUCUUCUUCGGAAGCCAGAAAACAGGAGGUGCACGGUUGUCGUCAGCUCGUGUCGUGAGAUGUUGGGUUAAGUCCCGCAACGAGCGCAACCCCUAUCUUAUGUUGCCAGCACGUAAAGGUGGGAACUCAUGAGAGACUGCCGCAGACAAUGCGGAGGAAGGCGGGGAUGACGUCAAAUCAUCAUGCCCCUUAUGACCUGGGCUACACACGUACUACAAUGGGAGUUAAUAGACGGAAGCGAGAUCGCGAGAUGGAGCAAACCCGAGAAACACUCUCUCAGUUCGGAUCGUAGGCUGCAACUCGCCUACGUGAAGUCGGAAUCGCUAGUAAUCGCAGGUCAGCAUACUGCGGUGAAUACGUUCCCGGGCCUUGUAC